rnacentral:rRNA from 1 species
AUACCGGCAGCUCAAGUGGUAGCCGCUUUUAUUGGGCCUAAAGCGUCCGUAGCCGGUCUGAUAAGUCUCUGGUGAAAUCCCACAGCUUAACUGUGGGAAUUGCUGGAGAUACUAUCAUGACUCGAGGUCGGGAGAGGCUGGAGGUACUCCCAGGGUAGGGGUGAAAUCCUGUAAUCCUGGGAGGACCACCUGUGGCGAAGGCGUCCAGCUGGAACGAACCUGACGGUGAGGGACGAAAGCCAGGGGCGCGAACCGGAUUAGAUACCCGGGUAGUCCUGGCCGUAAACGAUGUGGACUUGGUGUUGGGAUGGCUUCGAGCUGCCCCAGUGCCGAAGGGAAGCUGUUAAGUCCACCGCCUGGGAAGUACGGCCGCAAGGCUGAAACUCAAAUGAAUUGACGGGG